rnacentral:sRNA from 1 species
CAUGUACACGGCAAAGCUCAUUCUCGUAGGAAGGCGCACACGCGAGGCGGUCUGACGACCACCCGGCUGAUGCCACGUGUGCGCAAGACAAAGGCCCCCUCGAAAGGGCCUUUUUUUAUUGCCGAAA